rnacentral:rRNA from 1 species
GACGAACGCUGGCGGCGUGCCUAAUACAUGCAAGUCGAGCGAGACUCUUCGGAGUCUAGCGGCGGACGGGUGAGUAACACGUGGGCAACCUGCCUGUAAGACUGGGAUAACACCGGGAAACCGGUGCUAAUACCGGAUAAUCCUUUUCCUCUCAUGAGGAAAAGCUGAAAGUCGGUUUCGGCUGACACUUACAGAUGGGCCCGCGGCGCAUUAGCUAGUUGGUGAGGUAACGGCUCACCAAGGCGACGAUGCGUAGCCGACCUGAGAGGGUGAGCGGCCACGCUGGGACUGAGACACGGCCCAGACUCCUACGGGAGGCAGCAGUAGGGAAUAUUCCACAGUGGACGAAAGUCUGAUGGAGCAACGCCGCGUGAGCGAUGAAGGCCUUCGGGUCGUAAAGCUCUGUUGUUAGGGAAGAACAAGUACCGGAGUAACUGCCGGUACCUUGACGGUACCUAACCAGAAAGCCACGGCUAACUACGUGCCAGCCGCCGCAGUAA